UGAAGAUUGUUGCACUUUGAAGGGCCAAGACCCUGUCAACUGCCUGUUUUCAGUAGUUUUGUCUUUGUACAAGAGUGUUCAGAUGACAGCUGUACGCCCUCCAUGCUCAAGUGUGUGUAGCUGUGAUAUCAGCAUUCAUACUGACAUUGGUAGGUUGUCAGUGGGGAGAAAUGAUGUGAUUCGAUUUCUAUGGGAAGCAAGGCGGAUGAACCCUCCUUGGCUGUCAACUACCCCCACUUGGGACCUCGCUUUCAUUUAAAAAAA